rnacentral:rRNA from 1 species
GACGAACGCUGGCGGCGUGCUUAACACAUGCAAGUCGAACGGAAAGGCCUCUUUCGGGGGGUACUCGAGUGGCGAACGGGUGAGUAACACGUGAGUAACCUGCCCUUGACUUUGGGAUAACUUCAGGAAACUGGGGCUAAUACCGGAUAGGAGCUCCUGCUGCAUGGUGGGGGUUGGAAAGUUUCGGCGGUUGGGGAUGGACUCGCGGCUUAUCAGCUUGUUGGUGGGGUAGUGGCUUACCAAGGCUUUGCCGGGUAGCCGGCCUGAGAGGGUGACCGGCCACAUUGGGACUGAGAUACGGCCCAGACUCCGACGGGAGGCAGCAGUGGGGAAUAUUGCACAAGGGGUGGAAGCCUGAUGCAGCAACGCCGUGUGCGGGAUGACGGCCUUCGGGUUGUAAACCGCUUUCGCUCAUGACGAAGCUUUGUGUGACGGUAGUGGGUAAAGAAGCACCGGCUAACUACGUG